UGGCUCUGGCAUCGAUGAAGAACGCAGCGAAAUGCGAUAAGUAAUGUGAAUUGCAGAAUUCAGUGAACCAUCGAAUCUUUGAACGCACAUUGCGCCCGCCAGUACUCUGGCGGGCAUGCCUGUUCGAGCGUCAUUUCAACCCUCAAGCCCCCCGGGCUUGGCGUUGGGGAUCGGCACAAGGCGCCGGCACCUUCGGGAGCCGGGGGCCCGCCGUCCCUCAAAUCCAGUGGCGGUCGCGCCGCGGGUGCCCUGUGCGUAGUAGACAACGCCUCGCACCGGAACUCCUCCGCGACCACGCCGUAAAACCCCCGACCAUUUUUUUUUUCUGGUUGACCUCGAAUCAGGUAGGACUACCCGCUGA
rnacentral:misc_RNA from 1 species